rnacentral:pre_miRNA from 1 species
UUGAAGGAUUUGAAGACUUAAACUUGCAAUACUAAAGAAUAUGAAAACUUCAACUUGCAAACUUAAUGAAUUUUAAGACAUCAAUU